rnacentral:rRNA from 1 species
UUGGUCAAUAGCCUAACGGCUGAACCAGCAACUUGCCAGAGGGGUUGUUGUUAAUUUACAGUUAUAGAUAGCGACAACAAGUGGUUUUCCACAUAAACCUCUAGAAAAAAAAGAUAAUGACAUUUUUUUUAUCUAAAUGUCUUGACUAACUCACGUGCCAGCAGUCGCGGUAAGACGUGGAAGACUAGUGUUAGUCAUCUUUAUUGGGUUUAAAGGGUACCUAGACGGUCAAUCACGCCUCUCCUAAAAUAGAGGGGAACGAAUUGUACUAGAGUUUUAUGGGAAAGGAGAUAUUGUAUUAACGGAGGAGAGAUAGAAUUUAUUGAUACCGUUAGGAACGGAUAAUGGCGAAGGCGAUCCUUUAUGUAAAAACUGACGUUGAGGGACGAAGGCUUGGGUAACCAACAGGAUUAGAUACCCUAGCAGUCCAAGCAGAAAAUGAUGAGUGCCAUAGGUUAGAUUAAUUUUGAUCUAUAAAUGAAAGUGUAAGCAUUCCACCUCAAGAGUAGUGCGGCAACGCAGGAACUGAAAUCAUUAGACCGUUUCUGAGAUCAGUAGUGAAGCAUGUUGUUUAAUUUGAUAGUCCGCAAAAAACCUUACCACAGCUUGAAUGUUUAGUAUAAUAGUUAGCGUAAUACUGAGUGUAAUACUUAGUAAUAUACUGAGUAGUACUAAAUACAGGUGCUGCAUGGCUGUCUUCAGUUAAUGUUGUGAAACUUAGGUUAGUUCCGUUAAAUUAACGAAAACCCUUGCUAUAUUUACUUUUAUAUAGCAGCACUCCGAUAUAAUGGAUUAGAUAAUAGGGAGCAAGACAAGUAAUCACGGCCCU